rnacentral:rRNA from 1 species
CACGUAGGGGGCGAGCGUUGUCCGGAUUUAUUGGGCGUAAAGAGCUCGUAGGCGGUUUCGUAAGUCGGGUGUUAAACCCCCAGGCUCAACCUGGGGACGCCACUCGAUACUGCUGUGACUUGAGUCCGGUAGGGGAGCGUGGAAUUCCUGGUGUAGCGGUGAAAUGCGCAGAUAUCAGGAGGAACACCAGCGGCGAAGGCGGCGCUCUGGGCCGGUACUGACACUGAGGAGCGAAAGCGUGGGUAGCAAACAGG